rnacentral:rRNA from 1 species
UACGUAGGGUGCAAGCGUUGUCCGGAAUUAUUGGGCGUAAAGAGCUCGUAGGCGGUUUGUCGCGUCUGCUGUGAAAACUCGGGGCUUAACUCCGGGCCUGCAGUGGGUACGGGCAGACUAGAGUGCGGUAGGGGAGACUGGAAUUCCUGGUGUAGCGGUGAAAUGCGCAGAUAUCAGGAGGAACACCGGUGGCGAAGGCGGGUCUCUGGGCCGUAACUGACGCUGAGGAGCGAAAGCGUGGGGAGCGAACAGGAUU